AUUGUUUGAACACCCCCCAAGCACGUGCCAGAAGGGUCGGUAAAACGUGCGGUGUCAGUAUAAAGCGUCUUGACUAGGCAGGCAGCGCGUCUGAGCGUGUGAACACUUUAAACGUUGGGUAAUAUUCGGAGGAUCGGUCAAAUGAGAAUAUUCCGGAUGGAAAGCCGAAGGCGAAAGCACCAACAUCAGAGUCACUAAAGCUUCAACGCGUAAGUUUGGGUAGCGAACCGGAUUAGAGACCCGGGUAGUCCAAACCGUCAACACAUUAUAGUAAUCUAUAACGCCUGGUGAUACGGUGGCAACACUAUAAAUCAAAGCAAUUGGCAGCGAUAGAGAUGCGCGGUGGAAUAUGCUGUUUAAAUCGAAUUUACGCGCAAAAUCUUACCACUUUUU
rnacentral:misc_RNA from 1 species